UGAGGGAUAUUGCACAAUGGGCGCAAGCCUGAUGCAGCGACGCCGCGUGGGUGAUGAAGGUCUUCGGAUCGUAAAACCCUUUUCUGCGUGACGAUGAUGACGGUAGCGCAGGAAUAAGUGUCGGCUAACUACGUGCCAGCAGCCGCGGUAAAACGUAGGACGCAAACGUUAUCCGGAAUUACUGGGCGUAAAGGGCGCGCAGGCGGUUGGAUAAGUGAGGCAUGAAAGCCCCAUGGCUAAACCUGGGGAGGUUGUCUGAGACUGUCUGACUAGAGUGCGAUAAAGGGGUGUAGAAUUCCGCGUGUAGUGGUGAAAUGCGUAGAGAUGCGGAGGAAUACCAGAGGCGAAGGCGGCACCCUGGAUCGUAACUGACGCUGAGGCGCGAAAGCAGUGGGUAGCGGAACGGGAUUAGGAAACCCCGGUAGUCCAUGCCGUAAACGAUGUGUACUCGAUGUUCGUCCUACAUUGUAGGAUGAGUGUCUAAG
rnacentral:rRNA from 1 species